UAGACCUAAAAUAAUUUAUAAAUACAUAAUCAUUAUUAAAUAAAACACAAAUCAAUAAAGAAAUUUAUAUAACUUCAUUGAUUUUGUCACAUAUUGUAUUCGUUACCUACUACCUAGUUGUAUUUAUUUGGUUCUUAUAAUAGAAAUAGUAAAACAACUUUAUUAUUAAAUGUUAUCUGCAAUCAGUAUUAGUUACAUAAGUAUAAGAUAAAAAAAAUUGCGACUAAAUUACUCAUUGCAAUGUUUAAGAUAAUAUACAAUCCUAUCUUUACAUAAAUAUUGACUUUUAAAAUUAUCAGCAUCCUCGUGACCCGGCAAUGUGACCUGAACUUACUUCGUUAUUUAUAAAAUAAUGAAAUUACAAUAUUGCUAAAAAAUAUUGUAUUGCUGUAGAUAACAAUAAUAAAAAUACAUGAAUUUGCAUUUCUUAAUAAGUAGCAUAUAAAUGAUCAAAAUAAAACCGUCAGUAUCGUCUGUUUGCUUUCUUAUAUAAAUGUAUGAUAAUAUUUUUUUACCAACGUUUUACAGUAAAUAACUUGGGUUAGGAAGUAUACCAGACAUAACCGCGGGAGGACGUGUGUGAAUUUUAAUAAUGUUCGUAGCUACGACGCAUGUAGACGACCUCAGGGAUGAGAGUGGAAUGCUAAAGCCACUAGGGCAACACUGCUACCAAUAUAUAUAGCUGCUGCUCUAAUCUACGCCUGCAGGAAAUUUAUUCGAUACUAUGACAAUGAUUUCCUGUACACACAAUUGACCGGAUUACAUACAUACAUUUGGUGCAUUAUCGAAACGAAAAUUAACCUCAUUUUUCAUAUACCUAUUGUAAGCCUUAAAUAGCUGUUUAAUGUUUUGUCUUUAUGAUUUAUUUUUGUCACAUUUUGUUUAACAUGACGUAACCAAUUCUGUGUGUAAAAGGUAUAUAAAUAAGACCGUUCCUAAGGUCCUGACUAAGGAAGACCAAGCCGCAAUAAUUAGCUACUAGGGACAAUAUAAAGAAUUCAAGAAAAGGUAAAAUGUGCGUGUAACUUUUGUUAUUUUAUUAUAUUUUGAGCUUUAAUUUGUCUUGAAUAAAAUUGACAUGUAUAUAAUUGAUUUUACAUAUAUGCGUAUAUAGAUUUGACAUGAUUUGAUUGUUACACGAUCAUGUUAAGAUUAUUUUAUAACUUUAUAGACUGUUUUAUAGAGAACAUGUGUUACAUUCAAUUAUUAUCAGAUCCUGCCAUGAAAGGCUUGUAGAACUUUGUCUGUGGCAUCGAUACGACUUUUUUUAUAACGAUUAUGAUUAAUAAAGCUGUAUUUUUAACAUUAAAGUAUAACCGAUUUCAAAACAGGGCUCUGUUUCUCUUUUGUAUUAAAACGAUAAAUGAACGUGAGCGUAUAGCAUAGAAACAAGACAUUUAUAUAAUGUUCGGGCUAAUUAGGUGUUGUUCACA